AUGUACCACGCGUACACUCCGGUUCCUCACGCGUCGUGAGCACCCACCUGACGACUGCUCGCUACGUUUUGUUAGCC
rnacentral:sRNA from 1 species